rnacentral:lncRNA from 1 species
UAUAUAUUCCACACUGUAUUUACACUUUACUGUGUGCUAUGAACGAGACUAUCAAAAAACGAUUUUUUAUUUUUAUUCAAUUAUUUAUUUAUCUUUUUAUUUUACCUACUUAUUUAUCUUUAUUUUUUUAUUUUUUUUGGUUUCUGUUUAAUUUAUGCCUUACCUAUUAUUAUUAUUAUUAUUAUUAUUAUUAUUAUUAUUAUUAUUAUUANNNNNNNNNNAUUAUUAUUAUUAUUAUUAUUAUUAUUAUUAUUAUUAUUAUUAUUAUCUUUUCAUAAACUUGUGUGCAUACAGUUUUUAAAAGGAAGCAAUUUUCACAUGUUUAUUAAAAUUUUUAAAGAUAGUUCAUUUUUUUUUUCUUCCUUUUUUUAACAUUAUAAUUCAAAAAAAGUUAAAGUAAAAUAAAUAACCAAAUAUAUAAAUAAUUAAUGAAAUAUAUGUAUAAGUUACUUUAAUAUAAACUUUUUUAUAUCUGCAACAUAACAUACCCUUUUUAAGAAAUUGUAAAAACACACAUUUCAAAUGAUAAAUGCACGUUAUAUAUUUGUAACCAAAUAACAUGUGUGAUUUAACAAAUUUUUAUUUUUUAAGAAUCGACAAAACGAAAAAAAGAAAAUUUUUUUUAAUUGCUCACAACGAAAUGGGAGGGUGUUUUAAAAGUUAAAAAAAAAUAAUUAACAAAUCAUUAACAAAUCAUUAACAAAUCAUUAAUAAACGAAUGGACAAACAAAUGAACAAACAAAUGAAUGAACAAACAAAUGAAUGAACAAAUGAAUGAACAAGCAAACAAAAAAACAAACGAAUGAAUGAAUAAUUUGCAUUAAAAUGCGACAUUGAAUUUUAUAUAAUUUUUUUUUCGAUGUUAUUUAUUUAUGCUUUAUCCUUAUAAUUGUAUUUUUGUUACUAAAUAUUUUUAUUAUUUUUAUUAUUUGUAUAAAAAAAAUCAAAAUGAAUUGUUCAAUCACAAUAUUUUAAAAAAAUGUUCAAUUUUAAUAAAUGUUUAUAACUACCUUUAACCAUCAUAAAAAAUAUAAAAAAUAUAUACCUUUUUUUUUUUUUUUUUUUUACUUUUUCAUCUUAAUUAUUAUUAUAAUUGCCAUAAUAUAUAUAUAUAUAUAUAUAUACCUUUUAUCUUUCCAAAUAAUCUCCGAACGUAUUAAACUUUCUUUGAAAAAAAUUAAAAAGGAAAAAAAGCUCUUUUUUCUAUUGAUAAAAAAAAAAAAAAAAAAAAAAAAAAAAAAAAAAAAAAAAAAAAUUAAAAAAAAAUAAAAAAAAAAAAUAAAUAAAAAAAAAAAAUAAAAUAAAAUAAAAUA